rnacentral:rRNA from 1 species
CAGGACGAACGCUGGCGGCGUGCCUAAUACAUGCAAGUCGAACGCUUCUUUCCUCCCGAGUGCUUGCACUCAAUUGGAAAGAGGAGUGGCGGACGGGUGAGUAACACGUGGGUAACCUACCCAUCAGAGGGGGAUAACACUUGGAAACAGGUGCUAAUACCGCAUAACAGUUUAUGCCGCAUGGCAUAAGAGUGAAAGGCGCUUUCGGGUGUCGCUGAUGGAUGGACCCGCGGUGCAUUAGCUAGUUGGUGAGGUAACGGCUCACCAAGGCCACGAUGCAUAGCCGACCUGAGAGGGUGAUCGGCCACACUGGGACUGAGACACGGCCCAGACUCCUACGGGAGGCAGCAGUAGGGAAUCUUCGGCAAUGGACGAAAGUCUGACCGAGCAACGCCGCGUGAGUGAAGAAGGUUUUCGGAUCGUAAAACUCUGUUGUUAGAGAAGAACAAGGACGUUAGUAACUGAACGUCCCCUGACGGUAUCUAACCAGAAAGCCACGGCUAACUACGUGCCAGC